CCAGGCUGUAUCACAACCGACCGUGAUUGGGUGUCCCAUAAGGCGGUGCACAAUUGACCCAGCGUCGUCCGGGACAAACAUACAUACAUACUAUGUUACCCAACGGAGAGCCAAUCCUAUCCACAGCCAAUCAAUACCAAGAUCACAGACUAAUGCCAACCGAACUGUCAAUCAUAUCGUCUGACUGUACUGUGAUUCAAUUCAUCUGAACAAGCUUUCAUGCUUUGUACCAUCUGAAAAUAAAGUUUCAGGUUAGAUACAUUAUUAUAAUGGAUCACAUUGAGACCUGGGCUGAAGUUUUGUAUGAAUGCUACUGCUAACAUUAGCGGCCAUUGCCUGUAUUUUCCCCCCAUGAAUAUGAAAUAUAAAGACACAUUUCUGAUUUCACUACAGAUCUUUGAAAUCUUGUUUAAUGUUUAAGACCUGUUUAUGUUGUCAUUUUGAUGAUUUUCUAAUACAAAUCUAAGCAUUUCAUGCUGCAAUCAUGUCUUGAAAAAGUAAUUUUGUACUCAUUAGUUAUUAUCCUUGUAUUUUCACCACCCUUUUCCCGUGUCCUUUGUUUGAGCAUAAUAAUGUAUUUAACCUUUUGGGAUUACCAAUGAGUUCAUCAGCACACCAUAUAAAAGAGCAGGAAAUACACAAUAAGAGGAGAGACUCCCAUUUACAGUAUUUGGAAAGUCCAGAAGAAGAGAUCUAAUUUUGCACUAGACUGGAUUGGAAACAGCAUUUAGAGAGUUGAAACAACACCAACAGAGAAGGGAUAUAAUUCUGCACUGUACACAGGACUCAAAACACCAUAAGUGUGUUCAAUCUUUUCUGGGUCAGUGCUCCUGUCACGACUUCUGCCGAAGUCAGCUCCUCUCCUUGUUCGGGCGACGAUCGACGUCACAGGCUUUCUAGCCAUCGCCGCUCCAUUUUUCGUAUAUCCAUUUGUCUUGUCUUGUUUCCAUACACACCUGGUUUACAUUUCCCCAUUUAACCCUGUGUUUUCCAUCAUGUUUUGUGUGUAAUUGUUUUCAUGUCAUGUGGUGUUCGUUUACGCACUCGUUUUUUGAGUGCGUUUGUUUUAUGUAGUGCUCUCGGUGUUGGAAGUAUAAUAAAAGUGUGCCUGUUCAUUG